rnacentral:lncRNA from 1 species
AUGAGCUUCCUCUCUACAUCGCAUUAUAUCUUAUGUAAUUGCUCCCUAUCUCUCUCUCUCUGUCUCUACAUCUUUAUCCAUCUGUCUCUCUCUCUGUCUCUACAUCUUUAUCCAUCUGUCUCUCUCUCUGUCUCUACAUCUUCAUCCAUCUGUCCUCUCUUUCUCUGUCUCUACAUCUUUAUCCAUCUGUCUCUCUUUCUCUGUCUCUACAUCUUUAUCCAUCUGUCUCUCUUUCUCUGUCUCUACAUCUUUAUCCAUCUGUCUCUCUUUCUCUGUCUCUACAUCUUCAUCCAUCUGUCUCUCUUUCUCUGUCUCUACAUCUUUAUCCAUCUGUCUCUUUCUCUGUCUCUACAUCUUUAUCCAUCUGUCUCUCUUUCUCUGUCCUCUACAUCUUUAUUCCAUCUGUCUCUCUCUCUGUCUCUACAUCUUUAUCCAUCUGUCUCUCUUUCUCUGUCUCUACAUCUUUAUCCAUCUGUCUCUCUUUCUCUGUCUCUACAAUCUUUAUCCAUCUGUCUCUCUUUCUCUGUCUCUACAUCUUUAUCCAUCUGUCUCUCUUUCUCUGUCUCUACAUCUUCAUCCAUCUGUCUCUCUUUCUCUGUCUCUACAUCUUCAUCCAUCUGUCUCUCUUGCUCUGUCUCUACAUCUUUAUCCAUCUGUCUCUCUUUCUCUGUCUCUACAUCUUUAUCCAUCUGUCUCUCUUUCUCUGUCUCUACAUCUUUAUCCAUCUGUCUCUCUUUCUCUGUCUCUACAUCUUUAUCCAUCUGUCUCUCUUUCUCUGUCUCUACAAUCUUUAUCCAUCUGUCUCUCUCUCUGUCUCUACAUCUUUAUCCAUCUGUCUCUCUUUCUCUGUCUCUACAUCUUUAUCCAUCUGUCUCUCUCUCUGUCUCUACAUCUUUAUCCAUCUGUCUCUCUUUCUCUGUCUCUACAUCUUUAUCCAUCUGUCUCUCUUUCUCUGUCUCUACAUCUUUAUCCAUCUGUCUCUCUUUCUCUGUCUCUACAUCUUUAUCCAUCUGUCUCUCUUUCUCUGUCUCUACAUCUUUAUCCAUCUGUCUCUCUUUCUGUCUCUACAUCUUUAUCCAUCUGUCUCUCUUUCUCUGUCUCUAA